GUCGAGCGACAGACGAGGAGCUUGCUCCUCUGACGUUAGCGGCGGACGGGUGAGUAACACGUGGAUAACCUACCUAUAAGACUGGGAUAACUUCGGGAAACCGGAGCUAAUACCGGAUAAUAUAUUGAACCGCAUGGUUCAAUAGUGAAAGACGGUUUUGCUGUCACUUAUAGAUGGAUCCGCGCCGCAUUAGCUAGUUGGUAAGGUAACGGCUUACCAAGGCAACGAUGCGUAGCCGACCUGAGAGGGUGAUCGGCCACACUGGAACUGAGACACGGUCCAGACUCCUACGGGAGGCAGCAGUAGGGAAUCUUCCGCAAUGGGCGAAAGCCUGACGGAGCAACGCCGCGUGAGUGAUGAAGGUCUUCGGAUCGUAAAACUCUGUUAUUAGGGAAGAACAAAUGUGUAAGUAACUAUGCACGUCUUGACGGUACCUAAUCAGAAAGCCACGGCUAACUACGUGCCAGCAGCCGCGGUAAUACGUAGGUGGCAAGCGUUAUCCGGAAUUAUUGGGCGUAAAGCGCGCGUAGGCGGUUUUUUAAGUCUGAUGUGAAAGCCCACGGCUCAACCGUGGAGGGUCAUUGGAAACUGGAAAACUUGAGUGCAGAAGAGGAAAGUGGAAUUCCAUGUGUAGCGGUGAAAUGCGCAGAGAUAUGGAGGAACACCAGUGGCGAAGGCGACUUUCUGGUCUGUAACUGACGCUGAUGUGCGAAAGCGUGGGGAUCAAACAGGAUUAGAUACCCUGGUAGUCCACGCCGUAAACGAUGAGUGCUAAGUGUUAGGGGGUUUCCGCCCCUUAGUGCUGCAGCUAACGCAUUAAGCACUCCGCCUGGGGAGUACGACCGCAAGGUUGAAACUCAAAGGAAUUGACGGGGACCCGCACAAGCGGUGGAGCAUGUGGUUUAAUUCGAAGCAACGCGAAGAACCUUACCAAAUCUUGACAUCCUCUGACUCCUCUAGAGAUAGAGUUUUCCCCUUCGGGGGACAGAAUGACAGGUGGUGCAUGGUUGUCGUCACCUCCUGUCCUGAGAUGUUGGGUUAAGUCCCGCAACGAGCGCAACCCUUAAGCUUAUUUGCCAUCAUUAAAGUGGGGCCCCCUAAGUUGACUGGCGG
rnacentral:rRNA from 1 species